CUUGAACUUUAUAAGAGGUAACGCCUGCCCAGUGAUUUAAUAUUUAACGGCCGCGGUAUUCUGACCGUGCAAAGGUAGCGUAAUCAUUUGUCUUUUAAAUAAAGACUAGUAUGAAUGGCAUCACGAGGACUUAACUGUCUCCCUAAUUUAAUCAGUGAAACUGAUCUUCCUGUGAAAAAGCAGGAAUAACUUAAUAAGACGAGAAGACCCUAUGGAGCUUAAAAUCUAUAUCUACCUAUAUCUUCUGUUAAUAAAAUACCACUAAUCUAUAGACUUAGAUAAAGUUUUUGGUUGGGGCGACAAUGGAGAACAAUUUAUCCUCCAUGAAGAAAAACUUUGAGUUACCACUCUUAGUAGUAGCAAGCCUAACUUAAAUUGAUCCAAACUUUUUGAUCAACGGAACA
rnacentral:rRNA from 1 species